GCCCGGAUGGCGGAACUGGUAGACGCCAGGGACUUAAAAUCCCUUGUCCUUCGGGGCGUGCCGGUUCGAUUCCGGCUCCGGGCACCA
rnacentral:tRNA from 2 species